UACGUAGGGACCAAGCGUUGUUCGGAUUUACUGGGCGUAAAGGGCGCGUAGGCGGCGUGGUAAGUCACUUGUGAAAUCUCCGAGCUUAACUCGGAACUGCCAAGUGAUACUGCUGUGCUAGAGUGCAGAAGGGGCAACCGGAAUUCUUGGUGUAGCGGUGAAAUGCGUAGAUAUCAAGAGGAACACCUGAGGUGAAGACGGGUUGCUGGGCUGACACUGACGCUGAGGCGCGAAAGCUAGGGUAGCAAACGGG
rnacentral:rRNA from 1 species